AAGGUGAAGAUAAACAGUUUGCCGCAGAAGAAAUCUCGUCUAUGGUUCUGGUCAAGAUGAGAGAGAUUGCAGAGGCGUAUCUUGGGUCAACAGUGAAGAAUGCUGUUGUUACUGUACCUGCUUACUUCAAUGACUCCCAGAGGCAGGCUACAAAGGAUGCUGGGGUCAUUGCUGGCCUAAAUGUGCUCCGUAUUAUCAAUGAGCCUACUGCCGCCGCCAUUGCAUAUGGUUUGGAUAAGAAGGCGACCAGUGUUGGCGAGAAGAAUGUUUUGAUAUUUGAUCU
rnacentral:lncRNA from 1 species